GCCCGGCGCAUAUCCAAUGGUACAGUUGCAGUCAACUGCUGUUGAGAUGGUUCUGCCCUAUAAGCAUCAAAAGUGGAUCCUGCCAUUACUCUUUCAUUCCGGAAAUUCGUGUCGUUAGUGUCCGGCGCCGAGUCCGAGACGGCGAAACGUUUGGCUCCUUUCAUUAUUUUUCCCUUUUCUUGCGUAUCGGUGACGGUGAGGAUUGAAAAAGCAGCAGCGAGAGCCAAAAAAAUGAG
rnacentral:misc_RNA from 1 species